rnacentral:lncRNA from 1 species
AGUUUUCCGGCAAGAUGAGACAGGUAGGUCGCUCUAAUGCUUAGACCGCGGGGCCGCCCAGCUCAGGCAAGCCAGUGGGGGUGGGGGCUGGGGUGGAGGAUCCUGCCGCCUGCAGUCUGGGGAUCACAGAAGGGGUAAAAGGUUGGGGGAGGUCAGGGGGUAGGGAAUAUUUGCAUGGGGGCUCAGAUCCCCCACCUCUGCAAGUCUCCCCUCCCUUCCUCCAACACCCUGAAGACCCCACAUUCUACCUGUGUGUGGGUGUAGGGCAAGGGGUGCUAUGUUGGGGGCAUGCAGUGCUGUAGGCAUGGGCAGUGUUGGGUGGCUGUGAGGAUUCUGUGAAACAGGACAGAGGCUCCAGGGGUGGGGGCACAGGUCUUAGAGCCAGGCUGGGUGGGGCCGCCCAGCUGGCCGCAGGGUGAGGGGCAGAUGCUAGCCCCACCUCGCCUGGGGCAUUUUCCUUUGAAAAGGAGUCCAGAUGACGAGUGCCAGAGCCCAGAAGUCUUGAGGACACCCUGGCACCCACUACAGAAUGUGGUUUUCUGAAACCAAAUGACAGCGCCCCCAAGAUGGAGUGGCUCUGGGCAUCCUUAGCGCCUUGGGGGGUGGUGUUGGCGGGAGGUGCCUUGGCUUGGAAUGUUCAUUUCUUCUGGAAGCACCUGCUGGCUGCUCCACGUCUGGCUGUCCUGGGAAGUUUCGCCCAGGGGUCUGCCCCCAGGGUCUCUCUCGGAGGUUGAGCUACUCCAGCUGGAGCUGUGAACACCAGCCAGCAAACCCCAGGCCAACCACUGGGACCACUGGGCCUCACAAUCAGCCCUCCUGCCCGGGAAGUAAGCCAGGCUAGUGACUGCUCCACAAGAUGCCAGUGCUGUUUGUAAACACACGACCCGGCUCACGAGACCUCUUCCUUGACUGUCAGAGGGGCUGUGCUGUGAGGACACGGGCUUCUCGACCCCAGAGGGAGCUGGGGUCCACUCAUGGGUGGGGCAGGCCUGCUGCCAGGACACCCAGGACCCCAUGGUAACCUGUAAACCUCCCCCCGCCACCCACCCACUGUGUGCCAAGUUCCAACAGGGACCUGAAGCAGGUGCUGCUAGGCUGCCCACAUACCAGCCUGGAAGGGGCCAUGCAACCUGGUGGUUCCCUGUGCUCCGGAACUAAGGCAGAGCAGGGAGGGAGCCUCCCCAGAAGGCUGACAAGGACCCUGGGGGCUGUCACUCAGAAGACAGGGAAAACCUGGGGCAAGGGCUCCCGCCAGCGACAUCGGUCAGCCCAGCGACAGCGCUCCAUCCAAGCAGCCGCUGCUUAUGUGCAAAAUCACAAAGGCUGUCUGAGGACCCUGUCCAAGCAGCCACUGCUUAGGUGCAGUCACAGAAGCCAUCUGCGGACCGAAAGAGCAUCGAGGCCGGCAGCUUUUGCACUGUUUGCCUGCCUUUAGCAGAACAGCUCUGCCUUCUUUAGAGGAAGCUGCGAAGAUGCUGAUAGACCGAAGGCGGCCCCACAUGAUCCGCUGGGCUCCCCCAGCCCUGUCUGAGCCUGCAGGGGCUCCUGGAAGCCACAGCAUGAAGCCCCCCCUCUGUCCCAGCAUGUCUGCUCAUGGGGAGAUGGGGGCCCGUGGGUGAGGCAAGUUCCCUCUCACAUUCCAUGCCGGCCCCAGAUGAGUCAGUUUAAUCCUGUAAGCCUGGGUCCGGGCGCUGCCCCUUUCUGAACAUAGCAUUGGGUUGAAAGCCAGCCCCACGGUUCAUUGACACAUUGUUGAGGACUGCUUUCCCACGACAACAGCAGAGGCGCGUGACAGAGCGCAGCAUGGCCCACAAAACUGAAAAUGUUCAGGAUAUGCCUCAUUCACAGAGCUGUUUGGCUGUCCCCUGCCAAAAACAAUCAAACAACGGAGCUCCAGGGUGGAUCCAGGAAGGAGAAGGAGCAGAUUGGGCUGGGAGGGGCUGACAGCACCCGGUCGGGUUAGACAUGGGUCGUCUGAGCCGCAGCUGAACCUGGCGUUGGAAAUCUCCCGUCUGAGUGGCUUACUACACAGCUUCAGCACACUGGGCCUCCACGACCGGACCCAGGGGCUUCCUUCUGAGGAGUUAUCUUCAUAUCUUGAAGUUGGUGGAGGGAUCGCAAGACCCUUUUGCUGGAAGGGAGUUAAAGAGCCAGAAACCCUUCCGGCCUCUUGUCACCUCCUCUGAUUUAGCACCUGCUGUUUCUGUGAUAUUUUAUAGACUUACCUGACCUCCAGAAAAUUCAAGGAGUUUGCCAGUGGGGGACUGUCAAGCUGCUGGAGAGGUGGUCGUCACGAUUUAAGCCCGUACUCACACGCUUGCUGGAUAAACAAGAACCCCCUCCCUCUGCGGGUGACACCCCCAGCGUGUGACAGUUUUUAGAAUCAGAACUGCUGAGGGGCACUGUCAGGUUCCCCCGUAAGCAAUUAUACCCACCUUGGCCCUGCGGAUUUCAGAGAAGACAUGUUGGUCCCUUUGAUUUUAAAAAGUCAAUCUCUGCAUGAAGACAUUGAAACAAACAAGAGGGCUUGGGCAUCAGCUACAGACAUGCAGUGAGUCACAGCAGCACACUUUCCCGACCUUUGCCCCGCGUCUGACAGAAGGGAAGUGAACCUCUUUUGACACAGCCCUUGUGAAGUCCCCUUAGCUUUGUCGUGUUCUUUCCUGUGAGCAGAGCUCAAGGCACAUGGCUUUGCCACUUCUGCAGCGGACCUUAAAGUGGAAGAACGCGCCUUCACAUGCUGGCUGGAAAUGCGAAGUUCCCGAACACCCAGACAGUGUUCCUGCCAGUGUCCUGGCUGGUUUUACAGUGUGAACACUGGGGCUUCUCCUUAAGUGUCCCGGCUUCAAGUCAGCCCUGCAGGUUUUCCUCCUCUGUGUGCAGCCUCUCCUGGAGGACCCUCUCAUGCCUAGCCCCAGGGUGGAUGAACACUGGAUCCUCCACAGGGCUUACUCCUUCUCCAAGUGACCCUCCUGCCAGGGCAGCCCCUGUGCCCCAUCUUGUGGUGACACACACACCUGGCAAACGUGAGUGUUUGGGGGCUCAUAGACUACACAGAGCUCAUUACAAUUGCAUCUUUUUGUUGUUGUUGUUGAGACAGAGUCUCACCCUGUCACCUAGGCUGGAGUGUAGUGGUGCGAUCUCGGCUCACUGCAACCUCUGCCUCCCAGGUUCAAGCGAUUCUCUUGCCUCAUCCUUCUGAGUACCUGGGAUUACAGGUGCCUAUCACCACCCCGGGCUGAUUUUUGUAUUUUUAGUAGAGACAGGGUUUCACCAUGUUGGCCAGGCUGGUCUCGAACUCCUGACCUCAAGUGAUCCUCCCAUUUUGGCCUCCCAAAGUGCUGGGAUUACAGACGUGAGCCACCACUCCUGGUUGCAUCUUUGAUCCUCUAAAUAUCAAUGGUUCCGUUACUGGUGCAAAGGAAUGCACCUCUAAGGAUAAACACUGGCAAGGUGUGUUAGUCUGUUCUCAUGCUGCUGAUAAAGACACACCUGAGACUGGGUAAUUUAUAGAGAAAAAGAGGCUUAAUGGACUCACAGUUCCAUGUGGCUGGGGAGGCCUCACAGUCUUGGCAGAAGGUGAAGGCAGGUCUUACAUGGUGACAGCGAAGAGAGAGAAAGAGAGCCAAGUGAAAGGGGCUUCCUCUUAUAAAACUAUCAUAUCUCAUGAGACCCUACCAUAAGAACCGUGUGGGGGAAAACCCCAUGACUCAAUUAUCUCCCACCAGGUCCCUCCCACAACAUGUGGGAAUUAUGGGAGCUACAAGUGAAGAUGAGAUUUGGGUGGGGCCACAGCCAAACCAUAUAUCACAAGGUGAUUUGUUAGCCAAGCUAGAUGAACAGGGGCUGAAAUACUAGAUGACAUGAUCAUUGUCUCUGCUCUUUCCUGAGCAUGGGCGGCCCCUCCAAAGAUCACUCUCACCCUCCGGAUCUCAGAUCCAAUAUCACCUCUUCCGAGAGGCCUUCCUGACUACCGGACCCAAAGAUGGGCUGCCAUGCCCCGUCCCCAGCAGCUGCACCCGACGUCCUCACCAUGUUGACUCUCUUGACGGCACAGAACCUGCCAUCAUUUUGGGUACUGGUGUGUUGUCCGUCUCCACCUGGAGGAUGCCAGCUUCAGGGAAGUAGACAUCACAGAUGCAUGGACCUUCAAGUCUGCAGUGCAUAACACAGUGCUGUGCAUAGGGAGGAGCCCCAUAAAUAUUUGUGGAAUGAGAGAAAGAAAAAAGGAGUGAAUGAAUGACUACAGGCUAUUAUCUAUGUUAAUGCAAUUACCAGUAGCAUUUUGCUGCAUUGGGGUCCAUUCAUUCUCAGCUUCUAGUUUUUUCUCCUCCUUCUAUCCUGCUGCAGAUUGCUCCACCCACUGUUGUAGGUGAGCCCCUGUCCCACGGCAGGGCCACUGAACCUGGAAGCUAAAUUGAAGCUGCCUCAGUUAGGAAGCAGAUCUCAGAUGCCAUGUGGGACCAGAGACUUUGUAAGUCCCCAGGGGAGGUUAGGGACCAUGCAAGGCUGACCCCAUUGCUACAAACACCGAACGCCAGCUGCAUCACGCAGCAGAGUGUCCCAGCCACAACUGCAGGGGGCCACUGGACCACCAUGAGCCUGGGAGCCCUGGCUCUUGACAGAGGUCCUGGGGUGAUGCCCGGGACCCUCCACAAGGGCGGGAAGCCAAGAGAGUCCUCUGGGGACAGAGGCUUUUGUAGGAGCCCAGAAACUUUGCAUCCUAAGGGACGAUGGCAUUCCUCCUUGCGGGGAUGGUGCAAAAGCUCAGGCUUGUUGGCUUAUUUGAGCUGCCAUCUCCUCCCUUGUUUUAUGGGUUAGACUGAUGUGGCUGGAAUGGAGUAUGGUAUUGAGAUCAGGAGGAUCUGAUGGGAUCCUCAUCAUAUGAUCCAUCCUCAUGAUGUGAAUGGAAUGGAGUAUGGUACUGAGAUGGGAUCAGGAGGCCCCAGCCCACUUCUCCAAGAAACUAAAAAAAACUGUGGAUGCCUAGGUGGGCGGAUCGCUUGAGGUCAGGAGUUUGAGGCCAACCUGGCCAACACGGUGAAACCCCGUCUCUACUAAAAAUACAAAAAUUAGCCGGGUGUGGUGGCGUGCGUCUGUAGUCCUAGCUACUAGAGAGGUUGAGGCAGGAGAAUCACUUGAAUCCAGGAGGCAGAGGUUGCAGUGAGCCAAGAUCGCGCCCCUGCACUCCAGCCUGGGCAACAGAGCGAGACUCUAUCACACACACACACACACACACACACACACACACACACACACACACAAUUUUGGUAAAUAUACAUAAAUAAAAUGUACUAUGUUAACCAAUCAUAGAUGCACAAUUCCGUAGUGCUAAGUAUAUUCACACUGGUGUGCAAACAACCUCCAGAACUUUUUCAUCUUGCAAAACUGCAACUUUGUGUCCAUGUAAAGCAACCCCCCUUUCCUCCGUCCCCCGAGUCCCUGGCAAGCACCCCCAAGGGAUGUUUUAGUGACUUCAGUGUCUCCACGUGAUAAGGAUGUUGAGAAUUUGAGGUGAGCACCAACAUGUCAGGUGCUACACAGUGGCCCAUGAGAGAUUUAUAUAUAAAUUAUUUCCUGGCAGCCGAGCCCCAUGGCUCAUGCCUGUAAUCCCAACAGUUUGGGAGGCCGAGUCAGGUGGAUCACUUGAGCCCAGGAGUCUGAGACCAGCCUGGGCAACAUGGUGAGACCCCUGUCUCUACCCACUAAUAAUACUAAUUAUCUUCAUCUCCUGGAUCUCCAGUGCAACAGAGAAGGAUGCAGGUUUAGAGAAGGGCCUGUGGAGGCUCAGUUCCCAGCAGUGUGACAUUGGGCACCUUGGGGCUCACACCUGACAGUGACGUUGGGGAUCCCUGCCUGGCUGCACCGUGCUGUUCCCUCUGCCCUUCCCAGCACCGUGGGUGAAGCUGACUCCUUCUCCCCGCUGGCCUCAGCCCUCUCCCACCUCCUAAAGAGGCAGCCCCAAAGGGACGGCCGUGCCCACCCAGCCCGUGCCACUCUUGCAUCCCUUUCUGCUGUUUUCCUUCAGAGCACCUGGCUCUAGAGCCACAGGUCCUCACAGUGGGUGUCUCCCAAGGCUACCAUUUCUCAGCACAUCCUGGAGAGGGUGAGAGAGAGCACUGAGUGGACCAUCCAAGAGCACGGCCGCAUCCCAAAAGUCCUGCUUCGGAAUGGACUGACUUGUGUGAGGCAUCUGCAGCUGCCCUACAGAGGUUGUGGGGGACAGGCUUUCAGCUGCAAAAUGUUCCCGUAGCUGCUUCUUCCUUCACGCUUGACCUUCUGAAAUCAACUAUGCGUUACUUCUGAAAUUUAAAAAAUUCCAGAAAAAAAAAGAGAAGAAAAUCCAGACAGUCUAAAGAAAGUGUCUCAAGCAAUUCUGCCGAUGAACUGGGUUUGGAAAUGCUAACUUCUACCCUGGAAUGUUGGCAUGGCCAAGGUGAUGCCAACUGGCUCCGGGUAGCGGGAUGGAGUGAGAGUGUUUGGCAAAGGUUGCAGACUGGUGACCUGUGAGUCAGCCGGAUCUGACCAGUCCAGUGCCCUGGGCCAAGCCUUCCCAGUGUAGGGGAGUUGCUCACACUGCAGUUCACAGAGUCCCCGGGGGCUGGCGCACUCUGUACUUCCUGCCUGGCCCUGUAGGCGUUCAGCUUUGCAAUAGCUGGUGGGGAGUGGGGGCAGAGGGGGGCAGCUCCUCCAACUGCCGUAAAGCUGAACCUCAGCCCUGUCCCAGGAAUCAGGGCUGCCCACAUGAGGGCAGGUGCGUGCCGAGGUGGCCCCACCCGGAUCCCUGUACCUGGAGCAGUGUUCUGGGCCUAAUGGCAGCCUCCAGAAGUGACCACUUACUCCCAGCCUACAACCAGGGCCUCACUGCCUGAUGUGGGGUACAGCCACAGCCCCUUUCCUCAGCGAGGGGCAACGCAGUGGUGUGACCACACGCAGAGGCUGUCUCGGCUCUUUCCUUCCCCACAGCCCCCGGCUUGCUCAAGGCCCCCUCCCAUUGCCACUCAUCUUUUCAAUAGACUGGCCAUGAGAAUCCGUCUCUCAGGCUGUGGGUCUAGGGAAGGGGUCCCAGGAAGCAGACUCUGCAGAUGAGACCCUGUCCAGGUGGGAUCCCUGCCAGUUGGGUGGCCCUGAGGGUCCCAGCACCUGGGAUGAGAAGAUUCUCAGCCCCAGUGUCCAGGGAGCUUCCCCUCAGCUGGGUGAGUGGGUAGGUGGCAGUGGAGGGAGGCACAGUGGCUGGAAGGUCAUGGGAAUAGUGGUUGUAAAGGCUAGAAGUGGGCAGCUACACCUUCAAAGAGGAAAACAGGCUGUCUUGGGGCUGAAGUCAAGGGUCUGAGACACGGGGAGGGGACCCCAAGCCUUGGGGGGGAAAUACUUGGGCAGGUGCAUCUGAAGUCUUUAAACGCCAGAUUCCACCUAAUUCUCUGGGCUUGCAAAAGUGGUCCCCUGCCCCUUGUUCAAAGAUAGAUUCCCCCGUUCACCCUCACCCUCUCUUCUGCUUAAAGGUAGAAAGGGGUCUGGUAUAGCGGUGUCUUGUGGGACAAAUCUUGGCUUCCUCAGCACCUGCCUCCCUCUCCUUCCUGGCCUGACCUCUGGGUGUCUGGUCAAAUCGCAGCACUGCCUGGCUGACACCUGGAGCAGGACCCAGAAGACCAUCCCUGAAGGGGAGUCUCCAGGGCUUUGGAUCCAGGGAAACAGGGUGGGGAACCCCUGGGAACCCCAGAGUCGGUAUGAAGAUUCUUUUAAGCUGAAGUCAUGUAAGAAAGAUUUAAUAGAUGCAGAAAGAAACCUUCUUAGAACUUCUCUCAUCUCACUAAAAGAAACUUCUAAGAGGUGAGAAGUGCCCUAAUUCCCUCUUUGAGGUGGCUUCUCCUCCCAGGAGAGAGAUCCAGAAUAAACCUGCUAUGAAUUCCUUCUCCAGGGGAGUUUUGUGACCAUGAUGAACACUCACAUCUGCAUAAACAAACUCUAUCCUUCACUUUCUCAUCUCCCAUUUGUCCUGCUAAAAGCCCAUGUGUCUUUCCUAAAGCAACUUUGUUCUUCCUUAGAAACCUGUCUCCUUCUCCCUUUCCCCUAUAAUUUAGGCACAUGCUAUGGUCUGAAUGUUUGUGUCUCUCCAAAAUCCCUGUGUUGAAAUCUAAUCUCUAACCUUGUGGAUUAAGAGGUGGGGAUUUGGGGGAGAUUAAAUCCGGAGGGCCCCACCCUCAUCCCUGGGAUUGGUGCCCUUAAAAAAGAGGUGGAAGAGGCUGCCUUAUCCCUUCCAUUGCGUGAAGAUGCAGGCAGAAAGUGCCAUCUUGAAAGCAGAGAGCGUGCCCUCACCACACACGGAAUCUGCUGGCACUAGGGAGGUAGGAGGUGAGGCUUGACUCUGGAGGUGGGGCUUGGACAUCAGAUCAAAUUGAGGACUAGCUAAAACAGGGCUGGGGUGGAAGCAGCUUUCCAUCAGACAGCCCACCAGUGUGCAAUGUCAGUUGACCAUCGCCAUGGCAACGCCUGGGAGUUACUGCCCCUUUCCAUGGCAAUGACCCAAAGACCCAAAAUUCCCUAGGAAUGUCUGCAUAACCCACCCUUAAUCUGCAUGCAAUGAAAAGUAGGUAUCAAUAUGACUACAGAACUGCCCUGAGCUGCUACUCACUGCCUGUGGGUUAGCUCCACUCUGCAGGAGCAGUCCUGGAGCUGUAACUCCACUGCUUCAAUGAAACUUUCCUUCUACCUCUGCCUUGCCCUUAAAUUCUUUCCUGGGCAAAACCAAGUGUCUUCACAGGCUAAGCUCCACUUUGGGCUUGUCUGCCCUACAUCACCUUGAUCUUGGAUUCUUCAACCUCCAGAACUGUGAGAAAUAAAUUUCUGUUGCUUGGUAUUUUGUUCACACUGCAGGCACGGGCCCUUUGAGUUCCUCACCACUGAGCACUCUGCAUGUGUGUGUGCUGGACAUGUAAAUCAACUCUGCCUUUUCUUUCCUUUUUUUUUUUUUUUUUUUUUUUGAGACUGAUUCUUGCUCUGUCGCCAGGCUGGAGUGCAGUGGCAUGAUCUCAGCUCACUGCAACCUCCACCUCCCAGGUUCAAGCGACUCCCCAGCCUCAGCCUCCAGAGUAGCUGGGAAAACAGGCGCACGC